GGGGGAGGUACGGCCGCAAGGUUAAAACUCAAAUGAAUUGACGGGGGCCCGCACAAGCGGUGGAGCAUGUGGUUUAAUUCGAUGCAACGCGAAGAACCUUACCUACUCUUGACAUCCAGAGAACUUUCCAGAGAUGGAUUGGUGCCUUCGGGAACUCUGAGACAGGUGCUGCAUGGCUGUCGUCAGCUCGUGUUGUGAAAUGUUGGGUUAAGUCCCGCAACGAGCGCAACCCUUAUCCUUUGUUGCCAGCGGUUCGGCCGGGAACUCAAAGGAGACUGCCAGUGAUAAACUGGAGGAAGGUGGGGAUGACGUCAAGUCAUCAUGGCCCUUACGAGUAGGGCUACACACGUGCUACAAUGGCGCAUACAAAGAGAAGCGACCUCGCGAGAGCAAGCGGACCUCAUAAAGUGCGUCGUAGUCCGGAUUGGAGUCUGCAACUCGACUCCAUGAAGUCGGAAUCGCUAGUAAUCGUAGAUCAGAAUGCUACGGUGAAUACGUUCCCGGGCCUUGUACACACCGCCCGUCACACCAUGGGAGUGGGUUGCAAAAGAAGUAGGUAGCUUAACCUUCGGGAGGGCGCUACCACUUUGGAUUCGU
rnacentral:rRNA from 1 species